rnacentral:rRNA from 1 species
AGCGAACGUUGGCGGAAUGCUUAACACAUGCAAGUCGCACGCCCUGCAAGGGGAGUGGCGGACGGGUGAGUAACGCGUAGGAAUAUGUCCAGAGGUGGGGGACAACCCUGGGAAACUGGGGCUAAUACCGCAUAUGGGCUGAGGCCCAAAGCAGUGAUGCGCCUUUGGAGUAGCCUGCGUCCGAUUAGCUUGUUGGUGGGGUAAAGGCUUACCAAGGCGACGAUCGGUAGCUGGUCUGAGAGGACGACCAGCCACACUGGGACUGAGACACGGCCCAGACUCCUACGGGAGGCAGCGGUGGGGAAUAUUGGACAAUGGGCGCAAGCCUGAUCCAGCAAUUCCGCGUGGGUGAAGAAGGUCUUCGGAUUGUAAAGCCCUUUCGACGGGGACGAUGAUGACGGUACCCGUGGAAGAAGCCCCGGCUAACUUCGUGCCAGCCGCCGCAGUAA